rnacentral:rRNA from 1 species
UACGGGGGGGGCAAGCGUUGUUCGGAAUUACUGGGCGUAAAGGGUUCGUAGGUGGCCAACUAAGUCAGACGUGAAAUCCCUCGGCUUAACCGGGGAACUGCGUCUGAUACUGGAUGGCUUGAGUUCGGGAGAGGGAUGCGGAAUUCCAGGUGUAGCGGUGAAAUGCGUAGAUAUCUGGAGGAACACCGGUGGCGAAGGCGGCAUCCUGGACCGACACUGACACUGAGGAGCGAAAGCUAGGGGAGCAAACGGG